AAGUCAACUUGUGGUUUGUGUGUGUGCACUUAACAAAAUAUCUCCGAUCAUAAAAUUAAAUGUAUUCAGUAAUGUUAAUUGUACAGACUUAGGUCCUCUGACCAAAUAUUUAAAUCAUGUGACUAUCCGUUUUACAAAUUCCAAAGGACAAUUGAGAUUGCAGGAUCAUGGCCAGUAAUUGGAGUGUUUGUGGUGUUUGUUAUAAUCGUCAUAUCAUCAAACCAUCAGAAGUCUGGUGUUCCGAAUGUGACGAAGGACUAUGUAGAGAGUGUAAGAAACAUCACAGUGUUUCGAAGGAUACACAAAACCAUACUGUUAAAUACAAGAAAUUACCAACAGAGGUCGUUCAAAUUGUCCAGGUCUGCAAAAUACAUAAGGAGAGAUACGAGCUUUUUUGUAGAAAACACGAUUGCCCUUGUUGUAAGAUAUGUGCAAUUACUCACAACGAUUGUGAAAGUUUAUUCGACAUCAAUGAAUACACAAAAAACGUCAAAACUUCAAAUGCCUUUCAUGAAAUUGAACAAACACUGCUGGAAGUUGUCAAUAAUAUUAAACGAAUUAUUACUAACCGGGAAGACAAUCUAGAAUCAUUGAAAAACAAAGAAAAAGAAAUUGAAGAUGAAAUCAAACAAAUCAGGACCAAAAUAAACAAACAACUUGAUAGGCUUCAGGAUGAUUUGAUAUUUAAUUUAAUGGAGAUUAAACAAUUGGAGAGCAGCAAAAUACAAAAGUUGUUGACCACUCUAAAAAAUCAAGGAGAAGAGAUCACAGAAUAUCAAGAAAACUUUACAAUUAUUAAACAACAUGCGUCUGAACUUCAAAUAUUUUUGGCCAUGAAGAAUUUAGAAAAGGAUAUUGCAGUCAAGGAGCAAUUUAUCGAAUCGAUUACCAAAAGUGACUCCAUGAAUCAAGUAAAUAUAUCAUGCCAAGUUAACCAUCUGUCUUUACAGGAAAUCACAGCCAGCGUUCAGAGGUGUGUAAAAAUUAAUGUCAGUUCUAACCCAUGCAACUUGUCAAUUCAGAAACAGAAAGACAUACAAGCCCAGAUAAGUGUAGCUCAUUCAACUAGAAAAAUCGAUAGCCUAACUCUUACAUUACAGAACCAUAUCAAUACUUGGUUGAAAAAUGUUCGAGGGUGUUCUUUGCUCCCUGGUGGUAGGAUGGUUUUCUCUUGUUUUUCACAGAACAAAUUGUCAGUAUUCAAAUCUGUCGGACUACAAGAUUUCGAAAUAAAAAAUAUUGCUGAUACGUUCGAUGUGGUAUAUAUUGGAAAUGAUUGUAUUGCUGUGUCAUCUGGCAAAUCAUUUCCGAUUAAUAUAAUCAACAUAAAGAAAAACAAACGAGAGAAAACAAUAAAAGUGAGCACAUUUAGUGAUGGAGUGAAAUACAAUGAUGGAGUAGCAUACAUUGAUGGAAAUUUGAUUUAUUGUGGUAGGGAAGAAGGACUACGGAUGAUUAGUUGUUUUGACGGAUCCGUUACCAAUAUUGUUUCCAAUAACGAACUUUCUUAUGCUUCUUACGUUACAACAUUCAGAAACAAAUUGUUCUACACAAUUCAUAGAGAUGACAGUGUAACCUGUUGUGAUUACCAGGGUAAAAUACUGUGGACAUUUAGUGAUGCGAGUGUUUUGAAGACUCCACUCGGUAUCUCUACAGACAAUAAUGGAAACGUGUUUGUAGCGGGAGCAAAUACCGAUAAUGUAAUUGUUUUCUCUCCUGAUGGAAAACGCUAUAGAGAACUUUUAUCACACGAAGAUGGACUAAUCAGACCGCAGGUUUUGCACUAUGAUACAUCCACUGAUAAAUUGUUAGUUGCAAAUGAAAAAAACGAUGCAUUCUUGUAUGACGUUAAAUAAGAAGUUGUGAUGUGAACUAUUUCCAGUAGAUAGCAUACCUUAUAGAACAUUGCUUAGAUCCAGAUUUCUGGUCUAUUCAUGACGUUCAAUAAUAGUAAAAAGUGAAAGACCAUCAACAGAUACUAUGUUAGAAUCGUAAUAAGGAUUUAGGUUUUAUAGUCCAUAAUGUAGUAGCAGUAAAUUAAGAAUACCUAUGCAUACCUUAAUUGUUUACUUUUUAUUAAUUUGGUCUCGAGCUUAACAAAUGACACUUAUUUUAGAAACAUGUGAUGUACGCACGGCAUGCAUACCACAUGUUUUAUUAGUUAUUUUAGAAUUUUAGAAAAGACAUAAUAAAAAAAAAUAUCCCUUUCAUAAUCAUGAAAUUUUUAAUUGAAAAUUUAUAUUGCGAGCUUUAUUAGUACUGCUUUUAUGGUUUCAGUAGAUGCACUUACAGUUGUUAAGCGCAGAGAAAUAAUGAAGUGUGACUAUAUGUCCUCUUGAUUGAGAUACACAAGAUGCUUAUCUAUUUACAUCGGAUACGAGAAGAACAAGAAAUGAUUGUAACAGGAUGCUGUUACGAAGUCUCCCAAACGAAGCUCCCAUAAUUCGUAAUUCCCAGGGUCGCCUGACAUUGGGCAACGUCCAGUGAAAAUUGGUUUGGUCCAGUAAAGUUAUAUGCAUUAGUGAUGCCUGGGGACUAAUCUUGUAUAUUAUUCAAAUCAUCUUGGCAUGACAAACCAGAAUAUAUAUGGUUUAGGGGUGGGGAUCUCGACCAUUUACAAGAUACUAGAACAUUGGGGGUGGGGGGAACCCCUGGGGACUGACCCUAUACGUCAUUCAAAUGUUCGUUACAUGACGAACAGGAAUAUAUAUGGUUUAGGGGUGGGGAUCUCAACCAUUUACAAGAUAUUAGAACUUUCUCAAAUGGCAAGGGGUCGGGAUGACCCCUGAGGACUAACCCUGUAUAUCAUUCAAACCAUCUUCUCAUGACAAACCAGAAUAUAUAUGGUUUAGGGGUUGGGAUCUUGACCACUUACAAGAUAUUAGAACUUUCUUAAAUGGCAUGGGGUGGGGGUGACCCCUGGGGACUAACCCUGUAUUUCAUUUGAUGUGCUUUAUCAUGACAAAUCAGAAUAUAUAUAGUUUAGGGGUGGGAAUCUCGACCAUUUACAAGAUAUUAGAACUUUCUCAAAUGGCAAGGGGUCGGGAUGACCCCUGGGGACUAACCCUGUAUAUCAUUUAAACCAUCUUAGCAUGAAAAACCAGAAUACAUAUGGUUUAGGGGUGGGGAUUUUGACCACUUACAAGAUAUUAGAACUUUCUUAAAUGGCAGGGGGUGAUCCCUGGGGACUAACCCUGUAUUUCAUUUGAUGUGCUUUAUCAUGACAAACCAGAAUAUAUAUGGUUUAGGGGUGGGGAUCUUGUCCACUUAGAAGAUAUUAGAACUUUCUUAAAUGGCAUGGGGUGGGGGUGACCCCUGGGGACUAACCCUGUAUUACAUUUGAUGUGCUUUAUCAUGACAAACCAGAAUAUAUAUGGUUUAGGGGUGGGGAUCUCGACCAUUUACAAGAUAUUAGAACUUUCUCAAAUGGCAGGGGGUCGGGAUGACCCCUGGGGACUAACCCUGUAUACCAUUCAAACCAUCUUAGCAUGACAAACCAAAAUAUAUAUGGUUUAGGGGUGGGGAUCUUGACCACUUACAAGGUAUAAGAACUUUCUUAAAUGGCAGGGGGUGGGGGUGACCCCUGGGGACUAACCCUUUAUUUCAUUUAAUGGGCUUUUUCGUU